UACAGAGGGUGCAAGCGUUGUUCGGAAUUACUGGGCGUAAAGCGCGUGUAGGCGGCUUUUUAAGUCGGACGUGAAAUCCCUGGGCUUAACCCAGGAACUGCGUCCGAUACUAUCAAGCUCGAGUGUCGGAGGGGGUGGCGGAAUUCCCGGUGUAGAGGUGAAAUUCGUAGAUAUCGGGAGGAACACCUGUGGCGAAGGCGGCCACCUGGAAGACAACUGACGCUGAGACGCGAAAGCGUGGGGAGCAAACAGG
rnacentral:rRNA from 2 species